GAUGAACGCUGGCGGCGUGCCUAAUACAUGCCAGUCGAGCGAACGGACGAGAAGCUUGCUUCUCUGAUGUUAGCGGCGGACGGGUGAGUAACACGUGGAUAACCUACCUAUAAGACUGGGAUAACUUCGGGAAACCGGAGCUAAUACCGGAUGAUAUUUUGAACCGCAUGGUUCAAAAGUGAAAGACGGUCUUGCUGUCACUUAUAGAUGGAUCCGCGCUGCAUUAGCUAGUUGGUAAGGUAACGGCUUACCAAGGCAACGAUGCAUAGCCGACCUGAGAGGGUGAUCGGCCACACUGGAACUGAGACACGGUCCAGACUCCUACGGGAGGCAGCAGUAGGGAAUCUUCCGCAAUGGGCGAAAGCCUGACGGAGCAACGCCGCGUGAGUGAUGAAGGUCUUCGGAUCGUAAAACUCUGUUAUUAGGGAAGAACACAUGUGUAAGUAACUGUGCACAUCUUGACGGUACCUAAUCAGAAAGCCACGGCUAACUACGUG
rnacentral:rRNA from 1 species